rnacentral:rRNA from 1 species
GCAAGUCGAACGCCCUCUUCGGAGGGAGUGGUAGACGGGUGAGUAACACGUGGGAAUCUACCUAUCUCUGCGGAACAACACAUAGAAAUGUGUGCUAAUACCGCAUACGCCCUUAGGGGGAAAGAUUUAUCGGUGAUAGAUGAGCCCGCGUUUGAUUAGCUAGUUGGUGAGGUAAUGGCUCACCAAGGCGACGAUCAGUAUCUGGUUUGAGAGGACGAUC